GGCACUUACCUUCCGCUCUCUGUCCCAGUCUAGGGAGAUCCUGUCUAAUGAUAAGAUGUUUGCUCGGGUUUAUAUAAGGGAUAACAUGAGACUUAGGGCAUGUCUACACUUACCUCCAGAGCGAUCGAUCCAGCGGGGGUCGAUUUAUCGCGUCUAGUGAAGAUGCGAUAAAUCGACCGCCGAGCACUCUCCCGUCAACUCCAGUACUUCACCGCAGCGAGAAACAUAGGUGGAGUCGACAGGGGAGCAUCAGCAGUCGAUCUACUGCAGUGAAGACACCGUGCCACUUUCGAUCUCCAGGCUUCUACUCCCUGCUCUGCUGGCAGGGCAUUGGGCAGCACCCUUUCCAGACCACCUGGGUGCAGGAGAUCAAGGAGGAGGGCAAGAGACUAGGCAUCAGAUGCAGCGACUGAGGCGGAUGCUGAGGAGGAAGGCCGGGCUGGUGGCUCCGGAGCCGGUAGGGAGCAGCGGCCGGCUUUCCCAGGAGGAGAGCAGCCCCUCUGUCCCCGCGGGCGGGGAAGAGGCCAGUGGCCAGGCGAGGAGGAGGAGCUCCCUGGCUUUCUGGAGGAGGAGGAAGACACCAGCUCCCUUAGCAUGCCCUGAGGCCCCUUCUGGUCCCAAAUGGAGGUGGCCCAGGGUGAUGCUAUGUAGGAGGGACCCAGGAGAGGGUGGGUGCCUGGGAAGGCGGCUCUGGAGCUUCCUUUACAGGAAGCAGAGGAGCCAGGAGCCGCACCCCAGUGCCCAACCGGAGCCAUCCACCAGUCUGGCCACUGAGGAGCCCCC